rnacentral:rRNA from 1 species
AGUGAACGCUGGCGGUAGGCCUAACACAUGCAAGUCGAACGGCAGCACAGUAAGAGCUUGCUCUUACCGGUGGCGAGGGGCGGACGGGUGAGGAAUACAUCGGAAUCUACUUUUUCGUGGGGGAUAACGUAGGGAAACUUACGCUAAUACCGCAUACGACCUACGGGUGAAAGCAGGGGAUCUUCGGACCUUGCGCGAUUGAAUGAGCCGAUGUCGGAUUAGCUAGUUGGCGGGGUAAAGGCCCACCAAGGCGACGAUGCGUAGCUGGUCUGAGAGGAUGAUCAGCCACACUGGAACUGAGACACGGUCCAGACUCCUACGGGAGGCAGCAGUGGGGAAUAUUGGACAAUGGGCGCAAGCCUGAUCCAGCCAUACCGCGUGAGUGAAGAAGGCCUUCGGGUUGUAAAGCUCUUUUGUUGGGAAAGAAAAGCAGCAGGUUAAUACCCCGCUGUUCUGACGGUACCCAAAGAAUAAGCACCGGCUAACUUCGUG